AGCAAAGACUUGAUGGCUUAACUACAGAACCCAAGUCAUAAUAUAAGCUAUAAAUUUACAGAUAUUUUUUGAAAUUUGAAUGUAAAACAUUUUAAGCAUUGAUUUUAGAAUUCCAAGUCCCAAAGGCUUUAUCUGAAGUAUCUGAAGUCUAAAACCACCCAAGAGUUAUGAACAAGCAUAUUGAUAAAAACUGGAUUGGAGAAUAUUGCAUCUGAAUGUGCCUUUGAGUUUGGACCACUGAGAAUGCCCCAAUUUGCCACACUUAUGUUACUAUCAUUUCUAUAACAUGCCAUUCCAAACCUGCAGUCUUUUCCCCCCUUCUGGCAUUCCCUUCACAGCAAAUGCCAUGUGAUGAGAAUAGUACAUCCUGUUUGCCUAGUAUUUAAUUAAGCUGUCAGACUGAAACAGAAAUAUCUCCUGGGAGGUGAGCAAGUGCUUCAUGGGCAUCUAAUUUCUGUUUAGGAUUUAACAUUGACGCCUGUCCUGCUUGAAAUUAUAACAAGAAGAUUUCUGCUCACUGCUGCUUUCAGUGAUGAAGUCCUAAUCACAAGCCUUAAUGAGAAAGGGUGGGGGAGAGAGCUACAUUUCAACCAAUAUUCAUCUGGUUUCAUGUUCACUAUUUUUUUCUAUUAGAUUCAUUAUGUUCCAGGAUCUGGCAUGGGCACUAGCAAAAGGACUGUACCUCUAAGCAUAUGCAGAGACUUGGGUUUAAGCUGGGUAUCUUUAAAUGCCAAUUGAAAACCUGGAUGUUUAAGCAAGCCUUCCCGCCAUCCACCGUCUGAAUUUUUGUUAUCUUGUUCUUUCUUCCAUCUUGGAUCAUUGUUUACUUAGUAAUAUAUUGUUAUGAUUUUGAAUUGUUAUAUGAUAUGUUGUUAGCCGCCCAGAGUAGUCUAUAUGACUAGAUGGGCGGGCUAUAAAUGUAAUGAAUAAAUAAAAUAAAUAAAUAAGUUAAGGCAGUGUUACUCACUGGAUCUCUUUUUCCAAUGAUAGGGCUUAUGAGACUACACCACCACAGCAGUUUGCUUCUCUGCAAAAUCUUACGACAAGUCAGAAGAAGAAAAAUAUCUUUGCUACUACUGUCAAGAGGACUUGCUGCUAAAACCUGCAUAGCAAAACUAUUUGAAUGUGAAAAAUCCUCCUCUCACAACACACAUUUACAACAUGCCAGGUGUUUUAAUUCAUUAAAGGAUGAGAAAGUUCAGAACACAAUGUGGAUGAAAAGAGUUUGCAUCAUUAGCCCAGGAAAAAGUUAUGCCCAGGGUUUUUAAUCUUCCUUUCAAAACACUCCAGGACUUGUCUAAUGAGGCGACGGCAUGCAGGUAGAGCAAUGGGAAAGGUGACACACAGGGAGCCAUGCACAGAAACAGAGCAACAUACCAGAGGAUAGGAUGACUGGAAGUUCAUUUUCUGCAAUUCACUUUCCAGAAGCAGGGCCACCCCCAAACUCCCCACAUGGAUUAAACUAUAGGCAGCCCUAGAUAGCA
rnacentral:lncRNA from 1 species